CAUAAUCAAGGAGAUGGAGCUCUCCUGGUAACCGCCUUGUCGGCUGAUGGCUCCUGCUGUUGA
rnacentral:ncRNA from 2 species